rnacentral:rRNA from 1 species
AUUGAACGCUGGCGGCAGGCUUAACACAUGCAAGUCGAGCGGAGAUGAGGUGCUUGCACCUUAUCUUAGCGGCGGACGGGUGAGUAAUGCUUAGGAAUCUGCCUAUUAGUGGGGGACAACAUUCCGAAAGGAAUGCUAAUACCGCAUACGUCCUACGGGAGAAAGCAGGGGAUCUUCGGACCUUGCGCGAAUAGAUGAGCCUAAGUCGGAUUAGCUAGUUGGUGGGGUAAAGGCCUACCAAGGCGACGAUCUGUAGCGGGUCUGAGAGGAUGAACCGCCACGCUGGGACUGAGACACGGCCCAGACUCCUACGGGAGGCAGCAGUGAGGAGUAUUGGACAAUGGGGGAAACCCUGAUCCAGCCAUGCCGCGUGUGUGAAGAAGGGCUUAUGGUUGUAAAGCACUUUAAGCGAGGAGGAGGCUACUGAGACUAAUACUCUUGGUUAGUGGACGUUACUCGCAGAAUAAGCACCGGCUAACUCUGUGCCAGCAGCCGCAGUAA